CGGCGACGCGAGGGCAUGGCGAGGAGGAGGCGCGAGGAGGAGGCUCUCCGCGGUGGUGCUCCGGUGGUGCGAGGAGGAGGCGCGAGGACUCCGGUGGUGCUCCGCGGCUCUCCUCCAGAUCCGACGCGUGCGAGGAGGAGGCACGAGGACUCCGACGAGGAGACCGAGCGGCCACCACUAGAUCCGUCAAGGAGAAUGUCGGAUCCGGCGAUCUCGUGUGGUGGCGGGGCUCCUCGACGGCUGCAGUGCGCAGCGGCGGCGUGCAGGGACGGUGGAAGCGGCGCAUAGAUGGGCUUGGCAGGCCUGUGGUUGGGCUUGCCGAGCCUAUCCAUAUUUUUUUCUUUUUUUUUGUUUUUUCUAUUCGAUUUACCGUGGCGGGCAACAAACCGUCACAGCAAAGGUCACAUUUACCGUGACCUUUGUUCCGAGGCGGUUUGAAAAACCGUCUCGGUUAAUACCUUUUGCCCGCCGCAGUUAAUGUUUUCUGUAGUAGUGAUUGUUGAAUCUUAAUCAAGUGAUUGCUUUAGUACAGGUGCUAAUCUAGAUGAUAGGUUAAUGAUUAUUAACUUGAGCUAAAUACCUGAAAGGAUUACUUAGUUGCAACUUAAGCUUUUUAUGUGCAAAAAGUGUUGUCAAGCUCGCUCCAACAAUAAAGCCUUGCAUACUCCUUGGUGUCAUAUUAUUUCUGGUUUAUGACGGGUAAGUCUAGCUGAGUACCUUCUCGUACUCAGGGUUUAUUCCCACUUGUUGCAGGUUGUGAUGUAUCAUGGCUACUGCAAGAGUUGGAUGACUCCUACCAUAUUAGAGGAGUAAGAUCAUGGGCAUGAUCCUUCUUAGUUACCUCAUCUAUGUUGCUUUUGUUGGAAUUGACCUGGAUACUGGCAUGUAUUUGGAAUGAGGGCAAUAUUAGUUUCAAAUUACUUUGCUUCCGCUACUUUUCAACUUAAGUUGUAAUAACUAUAUUGAACUCAGAUGUAUGUCAAACUAUUUGUGAAAUGGAUGUAACAUGUGACUUGUUAUGUUGAAUUACUACGAUCUUGGCUGGUAUGUUGGUUGGUUUGAAAUCCCUCGUGAUUUCACGGACUACCGGGUUUAUGAGAGUUCGAUUACGGUAAAGCAACUGCUUUGGCGGGAGUUUUUCGUAGUUGAUCUCUUGUAAAUUGGGCGGUUCUGUUACAUCAUAUUCAUAAUAUUGAAGAACAAAGAUAAUUAGAAAACAAUUAGAAACACAAUUAGAGAAUUACCAAGAAUCCUCUUGACAGAUCCGGAAACCAAUCGAAGAUUGACUCCUUCUAGUUCUAAUCCUAUGUAGCUAUGCUAAUCUAGAUGUCUAAUUGAUGUGGUGGCUCUAAUCUUGAUCAGAGGCUUCUUCUCCCUUAAUGGAACAAUGAAUUAGGGUUGAGAGGCUCUCUCCUCCAGGGGCC
rnacentral:lncRNA from 1 species